rnacentral:lncRNA from 1 species
GACUCAGCACUUGGGCACCGCACCGCUGGGGGCGAAGGCACCGACCGGGCGGCACGGGCCGGGACCGGGCGCUGGACCAGGGCGGCCCCGAGGCCUGGCGGGCGACCCGCUCCUAGCAAAGGUGCGCGGGGGGACGAGCGGGUGGGAGCGGCCUCGCAAACAAGCCUCCGUCCCAGCCCUUGCCUUCUGCUCGAAAUUGAUGAUGCCCUGCACUGGGCCGUCGCCCUUCAGCACGCACACGGCCUUCGUCGCCAUAACUCGCUAGGCCACGCCGAGGUCCUGGUUCCGAGGACUGCAACGGAAACCCCAGACGCUGCAGGAGACUACGACGCAAACCAGCACCCCGUCUCCGCGACUACUUUAUAGGCCAGACCUCCGCGCCUCGCCCACUCUGGCCCCAAACCAAUCGCCUCGCACGCGCUCAGCCCGCCCCCUGCGGCAGCCUCGGGUCGCGAGUGGCCGGGAAUGACUGGGGGCGGGGCCAAGGGGCCGCGUGCGCCGGAGACUCCCCCCGCCCCGCAGCCGGGAAACGUCCAGAACCCCGAAAUGUGGAGAAAACAACCUUCUUUUCACGGGGGCGUGGCCCGCCGGUUGCAGUACGCGAAAUUGGCAAAAUGAUGUAAACAGGGAUGGUCGUCACACCUGAACAAGGGGGUCCCUGGCCCCAGGCCCCAUGCUUUACUGGGCCCUGUUCUGUCCCUCUUCUGGCAUCAUCUCCCAUGGAGAAAAGAAUGUGUUGAAGCCAAGAAGAUGCUCCCCCCGCAAGAAUAUCAUCUCUGCUAGAACAGGGGCUGGAGUGUAACGGCAUGAUCUCGGCUCACUGCACCCUCGACUUCCUGGAUUCAGGUGAUCCCCUCACCUCAGCCUCCCUAGUAGCUGGUGUGUCCGGAAUUGGUGGGUUCUUGGUCUCACUGACUUCAAGAAUGAAGCCGUGGACCCUCGCGGUGAGUGUUACAGUUCUUAAAGGUGGCGUGUCCGGAGUUUGUUCCUUCUGAUGUUCAGAUGUGUUCGGAGUUUCUUCCUUCUGGUGGGUUUGUGGUCUCGCUGGCUCAGGAGUGAAGCUGCAGACCUUCGCGGUGAGUGUUACAGCUCUUAAGGCAGCGCGUCUCAAGUUGUUCAUUCCUCCCGGGGGGUUCGUGGUCUCAUUGGCUUCAGCAGUGAAGCUGCAGACCUUCGUGGUGAGUGUUACAGCUCAUAAAGGCAGUGUGGACCCAAAGAGUGAGCAGCAGCAAGAUUUAUUGCAAAGAAAGACAAAGCUUCCACAGUAUGGAAGGGGACCCAAGCAGCUUGCCACUGCUGGCUCAGGCAGCCUGCUUUUAUUCUUUUAUCUGGCCCCACCCACAUCCUGCUGAUUGGUAGAGCCGAGUGGUCUGUUUUGACAGGGCGCUGAUUGGUGUGUUUACAAUCCCUGAGCUAGACACAAAGGUUCUCCACCUCCCCACCAGAGUAGCUAGAUACAGAGUGUCGAUUCGUGCAUUCACAAACCCUGAGCUAGACACAGGGUGCCGAUUGGUGCAUUUACAAUCCCUUAGCUAGACAUAAAGGUUCUGCAGGUCCCCACUAAACUCAGGAGCCCAGCUGGCGUCACCCAGUGGAUCCCGCACCUGGGCUGCAGGUGGAGCUGCCUGCCACUCCCAUGCCGUGCACCCGCACUCCUCAGCCCUUGGGUCGUCGAUGGGACUGGGCGCCGUAGAGCAGGGGGCGGUGCUUGUCGGGGAGGCUCCGGCAGCACAGCAGCCCACAGAGAGGGGGAGGCUCAGGCAUGGCGGGCUGCAGGUCCCGAGCCAUGCCCCGCAGGGAGGCAGCUAAGGCCGGUGAGAAAUCGAGCCCAGUGCCGGUGGGCGGCACUGCUCUGAGUACAGGGCCUCCACAGCCGCUGGCCCUGGUGCUAAGCCCCUCAUUGCAUGGGGCCGGCAGGGCCUGCCGGCUGCUCCGAGUGCGGGGCCCGCCAAGCCCACGCACACCUGGAGCUCCAGCUGGCCCGGAAGUGCCCGCACAGCCCCUGUUCCCGCUCAUGCCUCUCCCUCCACACCUCCUUGCAAGCUGAGGGAGCCAGCUCCGGCCUUGGCCAGCCCAGAAAGGGGCUCCCACAGUGCAGCGGUGGGCUGAAGGGCUCCUCAAGUGCUGCCAAAGUGGGAGCCCAGGCAGAGGAGGUGCCGAGAGCGAGUGAGGCCUCUGAGGACUGCCAGCAUGCUGUCACCUCUCACUGGGACUACAGGUGAGCACCCACACACCCGGCUAAUUUUUUUUUUAUUUUUUGGUAGAGAUGGGGUCUCCCUAUGUUGCCCAAGCUCAUUUAGAACUCCUGGGCUCAAGCAAUCCACCUGCCUCAGCCUCCCCAAGUGCUAGGAUUAUAGGCAUGAGCUACCGCCCCCAGCCUCAAAGUUGUUUUUUAAAAAUGUAAUUAUCUAUUCCCUUUAAGGCACAUAAUUUUCUUAAUGAACCUCUACCCUACUAGGUGGGUAGGAGUUGGGUGAGACUUAAACUUGAAAUGAUAAUGCCUAAAGUUUGUGCGGUUUAAACCCCAGGGGUCCCCAUCACCUGGGCCAUAUUGGCUUCAAAUUGGCUAUAUUUGAAGAAUUGUCUUGGGCCACACAUAAAAUACGUUAACACUAAUGAUAGCUGGUGAGCU